rnacentral:rRNA from 1 species
CCCCUAGAUGUUCUGGGCCGCACGCGCGCUACACUGAACAGUUCAACAAGUCUUAACCUUGGCCGAUAGGUCUGGGUAAUCUUUGAACGCUGUUCGUGAUUGGGAUAGACCUUUGCAAUUAUGGGUCUUCAACGAGGAAUUCCUAGUAAACGCAAGUCAUCAGCUUGCAUUGCUUACGUCCCUGCCCUUUGUACACACCGCCCGUCGCACCUACCGAUUGAAUGGUCCGGUGAAAUCUCGGGACGGCGGCUCGGUCGCUUGCGUCCGACUGCUGAAACUUGAUUAAACCAUAUCAUUUAGAGGAAGGUGAAGUCGUAACA